CUCCAGUUAGCCUAGUGGUAAAGGCUAUGGAUCACCAAUCCGUAGACGACGGGUUCGGUUCCCAUUCUGGUUG
rnacentral:tRNA from 1 species